CAGCCUAACACAUGCAAGUCGAACGGCAGCACAGAGGAGCUUGCUCCUUGGGUGGCGAGUGGCGGACGGGUGAGGAAUACAUCGGAAUCUACUCUGUCGUGGGGGAUAACGUAGGGAAACUUACGCUAAUACCGCAUACGACCUACGGGUGAAAGCAGGGGAUCUUCGGACCUUGCGCGAUUGAAUGAGCCGAUGUCGGAUUAGCUAGUUGGCGGGGUAAAGGCCCACCAAGGCGACGAUCCGUAGCUGGUCUGAGAGGAUGAUCAGCCACACUGGAACUGAGACACGGUCCAGACUCCUACGGGAGGCAGCAGUGGGGAAUAUUGGACAAUGGGCGCAAGCCUGAUCCAGCCAUACCGCGUGGGUGAAGAAGGCCUUCGGGUUGUAAAGCCCUUUUGUUGGGAAAGAAAUCCAGCCGGCUAAUACCUGGUUGGGAUGACGGUACCCAAAGAAUAAGCACCGGCUAACUUCGCGCCAGCAGCCGCGGUAAUACGAAGGGUGCAAGCGUUACUCGGAAUUACUGGGCGUAAAGC
rnacentral:rRNA from 1 species